GAAUACCGCGUGAAGGCAGGAAGGCUCUUGGGUUGUCAACCUCUUUUCUCCGGGAAUAAAAAAAUGAAGGUCACCUCAGGAAUAAGCAUCGGCUAACUCCGUGCCAGCAGCCGCGGUAAUACGGAGGAUGCAAGCGUUAUCCGGAAUGAUUGGGCGUAAAGCGUCCGCAGGUGGCUAUGUAAGUCUGCUGUUAAAGAGGGCUCAACCUUGUAAAGGCAGUCGAAACUACAUAGCUAGAGUGCGUUCGGGGCAGAGGGAAUUCCUGGUGUAGCGGUGAAAUGCGUAGAUAUCAGGAAGAACACCGGUGGCGAAAGCGCUCUGCUAGGCCGCAACUGACACUGAGGGACGAAAGCUAGGGGAGCGAAUGGGAUUAGAUACCCCAGUAGUCCUAGCCG
rnacentral:rRNA from 1 species